rnacentral:rRNA from 1 species
AACAUCGCCUCUUGCUCAAAAAGUAUAAGAGGUCCCGCCUGCCCUGUGACAAAAAGUUUAACGGCCGCGGUAUCUUGACCGUGCGAAGGUAGCGAAAUCACUUGUUUCUUAAAUGGAGACCUGUAUGAAUGGCAUAACGAGGGCCAACCUGUCUCCUUCUCCUAGUCAAUGAAAUUGAUCUCCCCGUGCAGAAGCGGGGAUAAAAACAUAAGACGAGAAGACCCUUUGGAGCUUUAGACUUCAAGCAGACCAUGCUAAUUAAGACAAACAAAAGAACUUAAGCCAAUUGGAUACCUGCCCUUAUGUCUUCGGUUGGGGCGACCACGGGGAAACAAAAAACCCCCACGAGGAACAGGAGAACUCUUCUCCCAGAACUAAGACUGACAAGUCCAAGUACCAGAACUUCUGACCAAAUGAUCCGGCAAAGCCGAUUAACGAACCAAGUUACCCUAGGGAUAACAGCGCAAUCCCCUUUUAGA